GAUGAGAAGGCUAUUGUAAUCGUUUCAGAAACAAACAUUGAGAGCCAAAGAAAGAGAAUCACGACAAGCUAAAAGAGAUUUUCGGAAAAUAUCUUAUUGAAGUUCUCUCCUCUGAACUCUCUGAGGAUUUCAUGGUAAAAUAUCUUUGAUGCGUACUGAGAUUAGAGAGUUGUUUUGUCUCUUCUAUAAAAUGAAACAUGAAAAAAAAAAUAUCAGAUAUAUUCGCAGAAAGCGUGAUUUUGUGCACUUAUGAUCCAGCACAGAGAGAGAUGCAAGAUUGCAAACAAGGUCUUGAAUGUGAAAUGAAAAGCAUAGAGAAACUAAAGUUUCCGUAGAGAUCUCUUACACAACUUCUAUGAACACAUAUGGUUUUGUGAGGAAUGCUUAUUGUUAUCUCCUUGAUUCAUCUCUUGAAGACACACUGCCUCCUCUGACCUCUGUGUGUUUUCCUUUUCCAAAUGUUUUUUAUGAUACUUUCUCACUUUCAUUAUUUUGUUCUUUUUCUUGUCUUUUAACAGGCUCAAAUAUGUUGAUACGAAAAUGAGGAGACGUACUCGCCAUAAAAAAGAAAGGAGGACGAGGAUGGAAAGCAGACGUGGAAAAAUCAAAGAAACAAAUUCUGAUCAAAGGUUUGGGCUCAGUUGCCAUACUAUGGCCAUGGCUUAUUUGAGGCGAGAAUGUAGGAAAAUGGUAAUGAUGUUUAUUUCUUUCUCUGAAGUGAAUGUUUCCCUGAUUUUGUUACUUUCUUGAUACAAGCAUUAUGAAUGAUAUUGUAGGCGAUGAUGGGCCAUCCAUACAACAAUAUUGGAAGCGAGAGAGAGAGAGCAGCCGAAGCAAUUACGAAACUUCAGAACCCAUAUGAAGUAAUGAUUGAUAUCGCGUACCAUAAAUUUGUCUUGAUGCAUUAAGUUCCCCCUCUCUGAUCUACCUAGCUGGCCUCUACGUAAUGCUUGAAUCUAUACAACGGAAAGCAUAUGCAGAUGAUUUAAAGAAAGAAUAACAAAUAAACUACUUUCAGUGCAGUGGUUUAAAUUCCUUCUAGGAAGGGACGUGUCUCUAGCUUUGGGCUCUGGAAGCUCAGAAGGUGAAGCAGAAGAAGCUUUAAAAGAGUAUGAAAUGUGGAAACAUGCCUGGUUUCUAACAAAGAAAUCAAAAUAUAGAGAAGGGUGGUGUCAGGUUUUUCAAAUACUUCUAUGUAGAGAUCUUUAAUCUUUUGGUGUUGAAAUACUUCUAUUAUUUGCAAGCAAUCACAUAAUUUCAACUGAACUGA